GGGUGCGAUCAUACCAGCGUUAAUGCACUGGAUCCCAUCAGAACUCCGCAGUUAAACGCGCUUGGGCUAGAGUAGUACUGGGAUGGGUGACCUCUCAGGAAGUCCUAGUGUUGCACCCU
rnacentral:rRNA from 1 species